rnacentral:rRNA from 1 species
CACCGCGGUUAGACGAGGGGCCCGAGCUGACGCUCUCCGGCGUAAAGUGUGGUUAAAAGGCCCCCCCCCUAAAGUUAAACGCCUCUGGAGCUGUGAAAUGCCUUCGGAGGUAAGAAACCCUACUACGAAAGUGACUUUACACCCUUGAACCCACGAAAGCUAGGGUA